AUUGAACGCUGGCGGCAUGCUUUACACAUGCAAGUCGAACGGUAACAGGCCGCAAGGUGCUGACGAGUGGCGAACGGGUGAGUAAUGCAUCGGAACGUGCCCAGUCGUGGGGGAUAACGCAGCGAAAGUUGCGCUAAUACCACAUACGAUCUAUGGAUGAAAGCGGGGGACCGUAAGGCCUCGCGCGAUUGGAGCGGCCGAUGUCAGAUUAGGUAGUUGGUGGGGUAAAGGCUCACCAAGCCGACGAUCUGUAGCUGGUCUGAGAGGACGACCGGCCACACUGGGACUGAGACACGGCCCAGACUCCUACGGGAGGCAGCAGUGGGGAAUUUUGGACAAUGGGCGCAAGCCUGAUCCAGCAAUGCCGCGUGCAGGAAGAAGGCCUUCGGGUUGUAAACUGCUUUUGUACGGAGCGAAAAGACUCUGGUUAAUACCUGGGGUCCAUGACGGUACCGUAAGAAUAAGCACCGGCUAACUACGUGCCAGCCGCCGCCGUAACAC
rnacentral:rRNA from 1 species